GUGCUUUUUCCAGUCCAGUUUACUGUCCAAGUACACUCCCAGAUGAAGUAAACAUUCUUCAGGAGAUUUCUCUUCAGGUGGUAAACAGCAGUAAUGCCUCCAUGAUUGUGGAGGAUAAGUGUCCAGUUCUGCAGGUGGGACAGUACUCCACCUUGGCUCUUUCCCUGCGACAGCUCUUCACCGAUGGGUUUCUACAUGAGUUCAGUUUAUUGGUGCAGCUGCGGAGUCCUCAGAGACAAGAACACAGUGUUUUCACCAUGCUCAGCCCUAACAACCACCUCAUGAUGCAACUGCGAAUCAGUACUCAUGCAGUCAUUUUCAUAGGAACACAGCAACAACAUUAUGAGACGGCGGUAGAGAACGUCAUAUCCCCCCCCUUCUACAUAUUCACCACCCGCUCAGAAGAACAAAACCACAAGACGGAAAAAGACCAGCGUCAGGGAUCGAGCUGUUCGUCCUGCCCGGACAAAAAGGAGCAGUGAUGAGGAAAACGCGUGCAAGGCUUCUCCUACUCAUCAUCAGCAGGUUCAACAAAGCAAGACCACCAGUGUUCCUUCUGUGUGCCGUUUUGUAACCGUCCGCAGACGUGGCGCUGCCACCAAACACCAGCUCCCUAAGAAAAGAAUCAGUGUGCUCAACUCUUCAAAUGACUUUUCCUCUGGAUAUUUUUCUGCCAAAAGGAUUCUUCGACCUAUCAGGAGAAGCAAGGCACCUUCAACAUUUAUUUUGUCCAGUGCAGAGAACUCAGUGAAUGUUGCAGGACCUUCCAGUGUACCCACCAAUCCCCUUCAAGAGAUAUCCCUUAAUGAGUCAUCAGACCCCAGCAAUAGACCCGUCCUUAGAAUGAUGCGACCCGAGUCGUGACAUGUGGCCUCCUCAAGGGAGCAUUUAUAGAUUUACUGACUGAACCUUGUGGAUGUUAAGGACGUGUAUGCUAAGGAAGGAUCCCAGUGACGGGACAUUUGCUGCUCAUCGUUGCCGUUCAGAGGGAUGAGACGGUCCAGCAGACGGGGUGGAUGCUGUCAGCUGCAGGCUGGACUCACUGCAUUAGUCUCUGUGGAGCUUUUCAUGCAUCAGCUUGUCUGGAAGCAGAUUCCUUUCCAAGCGUGUAUAUAAAUGUGACUUUUCCUUGUGGAUAAGAGCUAAAUCUUGAUUUUGAUGUAUCUGGGACUUUACUGAAGCAGAUGUGUGCUGAUGUUGUCAUUGUCACUUUAGUAUUUUACAGUUUUAGCAGUGUUAGUAUUUUUUUUAUACAUGCUCUGCUCUCGCUGUGGAAAAAUACGUUUAAAUCAAUCCAACCAAAUAUAUAAAAUAAUGACGUGAAUGAUGAAGAAUGCUAUUGAAGUAAUUACAUUGUAAUACAAAAAAAAAAAAAAAUGAUAAAAAUUAAGUAAAAAAAUAAAAAAAAAUAAAAAUAAAUAAAAAUCACACUCCUGCUGUGAACCCGUUUUUGUGGGCAGUACCAAGAUCAUAAGGCGCAUAAACCAACCUCGUGUUAAGCCAACACCUCCGUCUCCUGCAGAGGAGCUCCGCAAUGGGGAAAUCCACAGGUCAGCAAGAAAGCAAAAGAGACUGCGCCCUACAGAACCUUGCAGCGCAGAUGAAGGCACUCCCUAAAGUUGUGGGCUGUGAGCUGCCACCUACUCGGGAUUUGCUGGUUAUAGACGGACAUGGAUCUACUCUGCAGCUUGCAUUAUUACACGCCAAGUGUGUGUUUCACUGUUUGAUAAUGGAAGGGAACAAAUUCAAUACUUGGUGGAGAAAACGUUGGCUGAAAUACAUCUGAAUCUGAACUGUGAUGAAGAAAAAUAACGUGACAGCGGAUGAAGCUACUCCACAACAUUCUU